AACGUUGUAUGCGACUGGCGAAAAAAGUGGAAUCAACCACGAGGGAGCAUGCAGAUUGGACGUUCCGUUCGCCUGGGAAAAGUAU
rnacentral:ncRNA from 2 species